AGAGUUUGAUCCUGGCUCAGGACGAACGCUGGCGGCGUGCCUAAUACAUGCAAGUCGAGCGGACUGGAUUGGAGCUUGCUCUGAUUCGGUCAGCGGCGGACGGGUGAGUAACACGUGGGCAACCUGCCCGCAAGACCGGGAUAACUCCGGGAAACCGGGGCUAAUACCGGAUAACACCGAAGACCGCAUGGUCUUUGGUUGAAAGGCGGCCUUUGGCUGUCACUUGCGGAUGGGCCCGCGGCGCAUUAGCUAGUUGGUGAGGUAACGGCUCACCAAGGCGACGAUGCGUAGCCGGCCUGAGAGGGUGACCGGCCACACUGGGACUGAGACACGGCCCAGACUCCUACGGGAGGCAGCAGUAGGGAAUCUUCCGCAAUGGGCGAAAGCCUGACGGAGCGACGCCGCGUGAGCGAAGAAGGCCUUCGGGUCGUAAAGCUCUGUUGUGAGGGACGAAGGAGCGCCGUUCGAAGAGGGCGGCGCGGUGACGGUACCUCACGAGGAAGCCCCGGCUAACUACGUGCCAGCCGCCGCGGUAAUUCA
rnacentral:rRNA from 1 species